AUACGGAGGAUGCGAGCGUUAUCCGGAUUUAUUGGGUUUAAAGGGAGCGUAGGCGGGAGCUUAAGUCAGCGGUUAAAUGGUGCGGCUCAACCGUGCCCUGCCGUUGAAACUGGGUUUCUUGAGAGUGCAAGAGGCGGAUGGAAUUCAUGGUGUAGCGGUGAAAUGCUUAGAUAUCAUGAAGAACUCCGAUUGCGAAGGCAGUCCGCUGGGGCACGUCUGACGCUGAUGCUCGAAGGUGCGGGAAUCAAACAGGAUUAGAUUCCCUGGUAGUCCGCACGGUAAACGAUGAUUACCCGCUGUCGGCGGCAGACAGUCGGCGGCCAAGCGAAAGCGAUAAGUAAUCCACCUGGGGAGUACGCCGGCAACGGUGAAACUCAAAGGAAUUGACGGGG
rnacentral:rRNA from 1 species